rnacentral:rRNA from 1 species
UGUUUCCUAGGGGGGCAGCAGUGGGGAAUAUUGCACAAUGGGGGAAACCCUGAUGCAGCGACGCCGCGUGAGUGAAGAAGUAUUUCGGUAUGUAAAGCUCUAUCAGCAGGGAAGAAGAAAGACGGUACCUGACUAAGAAGCCCCGGCUAACUACGUGCCAGCAGCCGCGGUAAUACGUAGGGGGCAAGCGUUAUCCGGAUUUACUGGGUGUAAAGGGAGCGUAGACGGCUGUGCAAGUCUGAAGUGAAAGCCAAGGGCUCAACCCUGGGCCUGCUUUGGAAACUGUGGAGCUAGAGUGCUGGAGG